CGCUGGUUUUUCCCGCGGUGAUA
rnacentral:miRNA from 14 species